GACGAACGCUGGCGGCGUGCUUAACACAUGCAAGUCGAACGAUGAAGAAGAGAAACGCGAACUUCGGUUCAAAUUUCACUUCGGAUUAGUGGCAGACGGGUGAGUAACGCGUGAGCAACCUACCUCUUACAAAGGGAUAGCCUCGGGAAACCGUGAUUAAUACCAUAUGACACAUUCAUAAGGCAUCUUAAGAAUGUUAAAGCUACGGCGGUAAGAGAUGGGCUCGCGUCCCAUUAGCUAGUUGGUGAGGUAACGGCCCACCAAGGCGACGAUGGGUAACCGGCCUGAGAGGGUGAACGGUCACAUUGGAACUGAGACACGGUCCAAACUCCUACGGGAGGCAGCAGUGGGGAAUAUUGCACAAUGGAGGGAACUCUGAUGCAGCGACGCCGCGUGAGCGAUGAAGGAAUUCGUUUUGUAAAGCUCUGUUCUAUGGGAAGAAAAGGACUGUACCAUAGGAGAAAGCCCCGGCUAAAUACGUG
rnacentral:rRNA from 1 species